rnacentral:tRNA from 1 species
GGGAGUAUGGUUCAAGGAGUAGAACAGUUGCCUAACAAGCACAAGGCCCUGAGUUCAAGUCCUAGUACCACCA